rnacentral:rRNA from 1 species
AUCCCUGGGCGCAGCCUGAUCCAGCAUGCCGCGUGAGUGAAGAAGGCCUUCGGGUUGUAAAGCUCUUUUGUCAGGGAAGAAACGGUUCUGGCUAAUAUCCUGUGCUAAUGACGGUACCUGAAGAAUAAGCACCGGCUAACUACGUGCCAGCAGCCGCGGUAAUACGUAGGGUGCAAGCGUUAAUCGGAAUUACUGGGCGUAAAGCGUGCGCAGGCGGUUUUGUAAGUCUGUCGUGAAAGCCCCGGGCUCAACCUGGGAAUUGCGAUGGAGACUGCAAGGCUUGAAUCUGGCAGAGGGGGGUAGAAUUCCACGUGUAGCAGUGAAAUGCGUAGAGAUGUGGAGGAACACCGAUGGCGAAGGCAGCCCCCUGGGUCAAGAUUGACGCUCAUGCACGAAAGCGUGGGGAGCAAACAGGAUUAGAUACCCUGGUAGUCCACGCCCUAAACGAUGUCUACUAGUUGUCGGGUUUUAAUUAACUUGGUAACGCAGCUAACGCGUGAAGUAGACCGCCUGGGGAGUACGGUCGCAAGAUUAAAACUCAAAUGAAAUUGACGG